GGGACCGUGGGGUAGAUUGGUCCAUCCUACCAGCCUGGGGCGCUGGCGACCCGGAUUCAAAUUCCGGCGGUCCCA
rnacentral:tRNA from 1 species